rnacentral:rRNA from 1 species
CAAGUAAGGCCCCCAGCUAGACUACUGGGUUGAUAGGGUGGAAGUGGAAGAGCCGUAAGGCUUGGAGCUGACCACUACUAAUAGGCCGAGGAUUUAACUAC